GCAAGUCGAACGGUAACAUUUCUAGCUUGCUAGAAGAUGACGAGUGGCGGACGGGUGAGUAAUGCUUGGGAACUUGCCUUUGCGAGGGGGAUAACAGUUGGAAACGACUGCUAAUACCGCAUAAUGUCUUCGGACCAAACGGGGCUUAGGCUCCGGCGCAAAGAGAGGCCCAAGUGAGAUUAGCUAGUUGGUAAGGUAACGGCUUACCAAGGCGACGAUCUCUAGCUGUUCUGAGAGGAAGAUCAGCCACACUGGGACUGAGACACGGCCCAGACUCCUACGGGAGGCAGCAGUGGGGAAUAUUGCACAAUGGGGGGAACCCUGAUGCAGCCAUGCCGCGUGUGUGAAGAAGGCCUUCGGGUUGUAAAGCACUUUCAGUUGUGAGGAAAAGUUAGUAGUUAAUACCUGCUAGCCGUGACGUUAACAACAGAAGAAGCACCGGCUAACUCCGUGCCAGCAGCCGCGGUAAUACGGAGGGUGCGAGCGUUAAUCGGAAUUACUGAGCGUAAAGCGCACGCAGGGCGGUUGUUAAGCUAGAUGUGAAAGCCCCGGGCUCAAUCU
rnacentral:rRNA from 1 species